AUGUUCACUGUGAAGAUGUUCGACAACACCAUGUGUUGCAUGUACUACCAGCACAACGACGAUGCCAGCAAUGGGAGCAGCAGCGGGGAUGAUGAGGAGCAGAGCGGGGAUGACGAGGAGCAGCCUAUUUUGGCUCACGACGACCAUGCUAUGAUGGUGGCUGACGACGACCCUACUAUGGUGGUGGCGGAUAACGACCUUGCUAUGGUGGUGGCAGACGACGACCUUGCUAUGGUGGUGGCGGACGAUGACCUUGCUAUGGUGGCUGAUGACGGCCUCGCGAUGGUGGUGGUGCCUGCAAUCCCACAGCUUGGCAACAGGACCAUGCCAAUUGUGGUAGAGGAGUACAUCCGCAUUGGGAUUCGCCACUCUGAGCGCAUCAGGUUGAUGAAGGAGAAGAAGGAGGAGUGA
rnacentral:rRNA from 1 species